rnacentral:piRNA from 1 species
AAGUGCCCAACGUAUGUUAAAUGUAGAGG